UACGAAGGGUGCAAGCGUUGUUCGGAAUCAUUGGGCGUAAAGCGCGCGCAGGCGGAUCAGCAAGUCAGAUGUGAAAUCUCGAAGCUCAACUUCGAAACUGCGUCUGAAACUGCUAGUCUAGAAUGUCGGAGGGGGCAGGGGAAUUUCACGUGUAGGAGUAAAAUCCGUAGAGAUGUGAAGGAACACCGGAGGCGAAGGCGCCUGCCUGGACGACUAUUGACGACGUG
rnacentral:rRNA from 1 species